AUUUCAUACUUUCAACUUAAUCUCCAUACAAAAAGUGCAAGUCUUAUUCUCGUGGUCGUCGGAGGUUGUGGGUUAGGAGCGGAGUUCGUGGGCUAGGAGCGCGCCAAGUAAGAAUCUACUCGGCACCCAACAAAUUCUCGUGGUCAUCGGAGGUCGUGGGUUAGGAGCGGAGUUUGUGGUUAGGAGCGC